GUGUCAGCAGCCGCGGUAAUACGGAAGGGGCAAGCGUUGUUCGGAAUUAUUGGGCGUAAAGGGCGUGUAGGCGGCUUCGCAGGUCGGUGGUGAAAGCAUACAGCUCAACUGUAUUGAGCCACGGAAACGGCGGAGCUUGAGGCUGGGAGGGGCUGGUGGAAUUCCCUGUGUAGCGGUGAAAUGCGUAGAGAUGGGGGAGAACACUCGUGGCGAAGGCGGCCAGCUGGACCAGUUCUGACGCUGAGACGCGAAAGCGUGGGGAGCAAACAGGAUUAGAAACCCGAGUAGUCC
rnacentral:rRNA from 1 species